UUCUAGUACUGAGCAUGAUAUCUUUCUUGUGGAGUGGUCAUAAAGUCCUAUUACAGAGAUACUGGUUAGAACCAAGGCUUGUGUGCUGCUAUAGAGUCUUUCGGGUUAUCAAGUAGUGGUGAUACUUUUUGUGGUUCACAGUCAACACACCUGAGCAGAACUGUUGAUUGCAUGCCUCCUUUGGAAUCACCCUCAGGAAACAUGAUCGCUAGACCUUGGAGAAGAGGCUCUCAGCAUAUGUGCUACCUUUCCUGCUCAGCUCUGGUCAGCCAGUGGUGAUGGACCCUUUUUAUGUCAUGUGAAACCGGUGAGGGGCAGCCUUUGGGCCGGUGAAGUUAAAAAGAAUCAAGCGGAUAUUUGCAAGUCUCAAUCAUUGGCAUGGACUUUGGUGCAAAUCAAAGGCAGAGGAGGAGGAGGAGGAGGAGGAGACCUCAAAUAACAGAAAGAAGAUAUUCAAAUGACAAGAAAGUGGAAUAUAAAAAGGAAACUGAGAUUACAGGCCCAUUCUGUCUUUAUAAUAGAGCUAAUGUCUUGAAAUUGGAAUUAUAUAGUUUACU
rnacentral:lncRNA from 1 species